GAAACUCAUAUGUGAAUAGUAUACAGAGAACCAUUCGCAACUAUUUAUAACAGAUUUCUCUUUUUUGCUUCUUGAUGUAUGUUUCGAAUUUUGAUCUGAAUUUUUUAGAGAUUAUCUUAAUAUGUGCUAUGAACAUGCAUGAUUUUUUUCAGAUUUUUUUACAGUAUUUAAAUAUGAAUUUAGGCCGCAAGUCACACGGUGAUUUCUCUUUUUUGCUUCUUGAUGUAUGUUUCGAAUUUUGAUAUGAAUUUUUUAGGGAUUAUCUUAAUAUGUGCUAUGAACAUGCAUGAUUUUUUUCAAAUUUUUUUACAAUGUUUAAAUAUGAAUUUAGGCCGCAAGUCAAGUGCAUGUCACCUAAUCCCUUUCCCUCCCGUCCAUCCCCAUCCCCCUGUCGGCCUGUCCUGUUUCCAAAAGCGCCCGUCGAGGCCGCCGGUGACCCUCACCAUCGGAGCCCUCCCCACGCCAUCGUCGGAGGGAGUUGUCGCCUCGGCUAGGCUAGCGUCGUAUCCGACGCGUCUACGCGCCCCAGCUCCCAGUCUCCCCGCCUCAGUGAUGGAUAGGUGCGAGAUGGAUGAGGGGAGGAGCGGGGAUGGUGCAGUGGCCAAAGGAGGCGUGGCGGCGGCGUCGGGAGCUGUGGGAGAUGGACCUCACUGCUGCCCACUGUGAUGAGCCUCGCCGUCGCCAUCCCAUGGUGCUAUGAUGCCCGUACGAUGGCCGGUCAGGUCCGUAUUGUGUGGUGAGAUCCGCCCGGCGGGGAGCCACACAAGGUCCAAUAUGCACGCGAGGGAACAACAACGUCAGAUGGACUGGCCCGAUGUGAGGGUGACCACGGGCAUCCAGUCGUAUGACACACCGCUCCCAUCGGUGAGGCCAAAUCCCCAUAUUAUUCAUCCAAAGUGGACGAAGUGGCAAGAACUGACAAUUAAUCGAUUUACUGUAUGCACAUGCGUUCAUCUGCUCCUCUGGCCACUUCAUGCCAUGCGUGCGCGCAGUCCUUGCCUCAUUGGUCAUAUUCACGCUCAUGGCGAGCCUCGGUGGCCUGCGGCCGCCGGCGUGCCCGCUCGGCCGCUGCGAGCAGGCGUCGACGGGGCGGAUGGCGGCCAUGUAUGCUGGUGUGUGCCUGCUCUGUCUGAAUUUCGAAAAUAAGUUUACAUGAGUUCUGCGUUCAGUAGAUUUCGUCUAUGGAUUUCUUUUCCUAGCAUUAGCUUUUACAUGUGUUUAUUCGGUUUGUACGCAAGCACUCUAGAGCCAUGGAUGCAAGACAAUAAAUUUGUGCCUGGUAUUCAUUUGAGUCGUUUAGAGAAGUGAAAAAUGAAGGCUCUUAAUUGCAAACCAGUAACAGAACAAGAAGAAAAUUUUAUUGAUCCCAAAUGACAUAUGAUGGGUGUUCUUAGAAUAAUGGAUCUGCUCUCAGUUUCUAUGAGUUCAUUUCAUUGUGCAAGAUUUUCCAGUGAUUACUAUAAAUUUUCAGAUAUAGCAUUGCCAAUCGUCUGCUAUCGCUUGUGAACAUUGCAGGCAGCACCAAUAUUCAUGUGCCUGAAAAACCUCGGACAGUAAAGACUGAAGUAUGUAAAUAAGGUUUUUCAUAGUGACACUGACAAAGCUUAUGCAUGAGAUGGAGCAUCCUUGUACAUUACUUUGCAGGUUUCAAGCCUUUUGAUGGAAGCUUCUGUAUGUGAUGGAAGCUCCUGUAUGUGGGGCCAUUGAUAACACAGCCUUCCCUAUUCUGUUGAGACUCUUCUUUUUUGUAGAUUUUUCUAUUUACUCCAUAGUUCAAAGCUGGUGCUUUUGUGAAUUUAAUUUGAGAGUAUUUGUUGGUUAUGUAACUGAAUUUGGACCUCACAAUCAGCUAUUAAUUUUCUCUCUGGAAAUUUUGAUAGAGAAGAUUAAUAUUCCAAACGUAUUCACAUGAGGUUUUAUGCUCUUUACGGUUCUGCAGCUAUCUCUUCAAGUAUUUUUGUGAUUCAGUUUCAUAGCAUUUAUGCCAUGGCAGCAAGGUGAAGGGUAAAUUCAGAGCCAAGCCAACUACGCUCUUGACCUAUUAUAUUGCUUAAUAUCAUUUACUAUUGCCAUUUGUAUUUUUGUGAUUGGUAGAUAAAAGCUUGCAUAGUUGCACUUAGCGUUUAUAGUACUAUAUAUUCAGCUAAUCGUACAAGAACCAUCUUUGUAGCAGAUCCAGGUUUUUAUGUGUCUCUCUAUACUUAACGGCUAUGUUGUAAGGUUCAGUGGUCAAUUGGAGUUUUAAUUUCGUAGCUGUAGCUCUAAAUAAGGUUUCCUUUGUUAUGCAGUAUAUCCAUAUUAUAAUUAGAGGAGAUGAGUUGUACCGCCUUGCACAUAAUGCGUUUUAAUUGAAUUGGUUAAAAGAACACAACAACUGUUCACCUUGAUAGAAGUUAAUUUUUUGAAUUCCUUGGGAAAUUGGAGUGGCUCUUGUGCUUGCAGAAGCGCUCUUUUGGUGAAUAAUAUACUGUCCUACUGUUACACUAUAUACUAUGUAAAUAUUUUUCUAUUUGCUUAACUGAUUAAUGGUCUCCAAAACUGGGCCAUAGUAGAUGUCAUUUCUUUGCUUCCCUUUGAACCAAUGUAUAUCCUUGUUAUUUGCUAUGUUUUGUCGUCCCUUCCCUUAUAUGUUUCCAGUGUCUUGCAAAAUUUGUAGCUAGCAAGAAGAUGAUUGAAACAUUGCAGUUUCUUGGUAGGCAGAGAAGACAUGUUCAUGUUGAAUUGCCAAGGCCCAGGCUUCAAGUGAGAUCAUUCACUUGAGUUCUCAAUGGUUUAUUCCAAAUUUCCGAGCUCAUUCAUUUCUUCUUUAGCUUAAAAUUCAAGUUCCACUUGUGUAUUGAGUUAGCCACUCAUUUCCAUGGAGCAGCUUGGAUUUUAUUCACCUACAUGCUUCGUUAAAAAUAUGAUUUAUGCUAGAGAUUGGGCUCUAUUUUCAGUACUAACCACGUUCAGUAAAUCUGAAGAGAGAGAGAGAGCAUUCGUCUCAGAUUGAGAUAAUGAUAUUGACUAGGUCCAAGUUCUAUUUCUUCUCUGUCAUGAUGUUAUGGUCUUGAUUAUUGGACACCUGGUGUCCAUAUUUGGCUAUAGCAGCCUAUGUACUGAAGUAUGUUUUUUGCAUGUAUGAUAUGGCUGGGACAGGUAGAAAGGUUGUUCAAGAAAAUAAUGUUAGAAUGGCGUAUAACAAUUAGAGAAUUUCAAACGCUUUCGGAUAAUAUGAGGUUGUUCCAUAGUAUUGCACAUGUGUGCUUCAUUGAUAUUUCAAGUGUACUGUUUGCUGCUUUUGAAUGAAUAUAUUGCUUCUUAACCUGA